rnacentral:rRNA from 1 species
UACGAAGGUCCCAAGCGUUAUCCGGAUUUAUUGGGUUUAAAGGGUGCGUAGGCGGCUUAUUAAGUCAGUGGUGAAAGCUCCAUGCUUAACGUGGAAAUUGCCAUUGAUACUGAUGAGCUUGAGUAUAUUUGAAGUGGGCGGAAUGUGUCGUGUAGCGGUGAAAUGCUUAGAUAUGACACAGAACACCGAUUGCGUAGGCAGCUCACUAAACUAUAACUGACGCUGAGGCACGAAAGCAUGGGGAUCAAACAGG